rnacentral:rRNA from 1 species
UACAGAGGUCUCAAGCGUUGUUCGGAUUCAUUGGGCGUAAAGGGUGCGUAGAUGGCGCCGUAAGUCAGGUGUGAAAUCCCGGGGCUCAACCCCGGAACUGCACUUGAUACUGCGGUGCUCGAGUACUGGAGAGGAGAUUGGAAUUUACGGUGUAGCAGUGAAAUGCGUAGAUAUCGUAAGGAAGACCAGUGGCGAAGGCGAAUCUCUGGACAGUUACUGACACUGAGGCACGAAGGCCAGGGGAGCAAACGGG